UAUGGCAACCAGCAGGCCCUGGCCUGGUUGCCAGGUUCCCAGCGGCCGUCUAGUCCGCCGCGCCUGCACAAAGACCGCGCGGUGACCGCGCAGCACAGCGCCGCGACCCGGCCAAGCCAGCCCCACAGGAAUUGCCACCCCCGCCGCCCCUGCCCGGGAAGCAGUUCCGGCGGCCUCCGUGACGUGCAGGCCGGGCGCGGCCUCGACCCUCGGGCCAUCUUGGCAGCGGAGGGAGCGGCGGAGCGACAGGUACAAACGCCGCCCGGCCCGGGCCAGCCCAGGUGCCGCCGCCUUUGUUCUCGCGCGGGUGAUCGCAUGGCACCCGUGGGCAUCCGCAGCCCGAGCUCCGGCAGGUGCAUCCCGCAAAGUCUGGGCGGCGCAGGACAGCGCAUCUCGUAAGGCCUGGGCAGGUCCAGCCUAUGCAUCCUACAAGGGCUAAGCAGAUCCGUCUCGAGCAUCCUUCAAGGCCCGAGCAGGUCCAGCCAGCGGCCCACACCUUGAUUCUGCGAAGCCUGCAGAGAGGAACUGCGUCCAGGACAGGACCAGCGUCCCCAGGCUUGUCCUCGUAGACUCUGCCUGGGCACACCUGCUUCAGCACCCAAGGUCUUUCGCUCUGGUUCUCCAGCUCUCUGUGGCUUGACUUUGGCCAGCAUGGUCCAACCUCAGACCUCCAAAACAGAGAACCCAGCCUCUGCCCCUGGUGCCAGCGCUCAGAUGGAUGACGUAGUUGACACUCUGACCUCCCUGCGCCUCACCAACUCUGCGCUGAGGCGCGAGGCCUCCACACUGAGGGCGGAGAAGGCCAAUCUCACCAACAUGUUGGAGAGUGUGAUGGCCGAGCUAACUCUACUGCGCACCCGAGCUCGCAUCCCUGGCGCUCUGCAGAUUACUCCACCCAUCUCUGCCAUCACCUCCAAUGGGACCCGGCCCAUGACAACACCGCCCACCUCGCUGCCUGAACCCUUCUCAGGAGACCCUGGCCAGUUGGCAGGGUUCCUCAU
rnacentral:lncRNA from 1 species